UUUCGCGCCUCCGCCCCUGGGUUGGCGGACAGGGGAAGGAGCGAAGAUGGCGGAGUGAGGCGUGCCCCGGGCAGCUGGCCUGCGGGCCCGGGGCAGGCCUCCCGUGAGAAGCGGAGUACUUGUGCUGGACCGUGUGAGGAUCCAUAUCACACAAGAUGAAUAUUUUCCUGACCUUAGGUGCUUUUAUAUUCAGCUCAACAUUCUGAACUCAGGACUUGGCACGAAUUCCUAUGUGGACUGCUCAGUGAGGCGUCCUGGUUCUUCCAUCCUGUUACUUUCCCCAGUGAGAUGCAGAUGUCUUUCGACAGAUUACCUCCAUGGUUUAGGAUGCAGAGACUGCCUUUCUUUUACGUCAGACUCAACACAGGAAAGCCGUGAGGAUGCAGCCGUCCUGUUGACUUCAGCAAGAAAACAAACCAUGGACUUGGGUCUUCUGCAGCUUUUGAAUUGGAAAGACGGUGUUUGCAAGUAGAAGGAAGAUGCUGAAUUUGAAACAAGUGCUUAGGUUCUGUGGCGUGAGUUGUUUUCUUUUUAAAAGAUCCAAACAAGAAGACUGAACAAAUACCAAGUGUGGGUGACUUCAGGUUUUUUUUUUUUAAUGUCUUCCAAUUUUAACACUAUUAUAAGCACAGUUGACCGCAGUAAGUUCCAAAUAUUUAAUAUAAUUUGAAGUGAAAGAAAUGUUAUCUAAAUUCUGGCUCACUCUUUGACAGUUUUCCUGGACAAAAACAAGAUACGAUAAAAGCAGAAACCAGGUUUGGUUUUGUAUGGGAGUGAAAUCAUUACAGUUUUAUGGGUAUAAAUCUACAUUUUUAAACAAGAUUUUUCUCUUGGAGAAGAAACCUGUUGUUUAUAAGAAGGCUUUGGACAGUUUAAUAGUCUUAAAUGUUCUGCUUUGCUGUUCUAGUCCUUCUCAGGAAGGCCCAGCUGGGCCUGUGGCUAGUUCAGAAUGGGAGGAAACAUAGGCUGGGACAAUGCUCACCCUGAACUGCCAGCGUGUGGGAGGCCAAGGCAGGAAGAGCAGAUGUUCAGGGCCAGCUUGGACAUCAAGAGGCUCAAAACCAGUAGGAAAAAAAACAGAGCCCAGUAACACCCUCUUUUAUAUUCCUUUUGUGGAAUCAUGUAGCAUGUGAGACUGGGUUGGAAGGGAACUGGCAUAUGUGGUAUUUCAGUUAAGGUGAUGUGGUGGACCCUGAUGUGUAACUGGCCUUCACCUUUGGACAUACAGGAAUGAAGGAAAAACUAAGGCUUGGCAUAUAAAUCUUUUCUUCUAAGAAAAAGAAGCAAAGCUGUCUAAUGUAGCAUUGUCUGACUUUUCAACAUUUUUACUUUAUAUGGUUGCAUUUUUUUAUAAAAGUAUAAAUAAGUUCCUUCAACCCAAAA
ensembl:lincRNA 1700020I14Rik RIKEN cDNA 1700020I14 gene